rnacentral:siRNA from 1 species
AAGAUUAAUCUAAAACGUUUGUGC